CUGAGUGUUGCAGUAAUAUGAGACCACAAUUUGCCAUGCUACUGCUAAUCCUACCAGACCAGAACAUCCUUCCCUGCACAGCCAUCAGAGAGUACCGGCCUGAAAGUCACCUUCAAGCACACGAGGUGUUAACGUCCAAAGAAAGUAUAAGGUCAUGGAGAGCAGGACCGAGGGAUUGGAUCGGGAGCUGCUGAGGAAGUGCCGGCUGCUCUCUCCCCCGGGGCUGGCAGUCGGGCUGCUUUCCCUGCUUCCCGAACGCGGCAAGCUGCAAUGGUCACCAAGAACCUGCCACAGGAGGUUCCUCCUGGUGGGUGUCACUUGUGCGAGGGAAAGGGACGCUGCCCGGCUCCCCGCAGGGUCACUGUGACUGGCCCUGCUGCCUCAGGGACACCCUUGUGCCCGAGGCUGAAGCUCAGCGUUUCCCACCACGUUCCCAGCCGUUCCUCUUUCCCCAGCCCUCUGUGAAAUUUGCUGUGUAUAAAACAAGAACAGCAUUGAUAAAUCCUACCUUCUAAAAUAAAAUCAGUGGUGGUUCA